AUUGAACGCUGGCGGCAGGCCUAACACAUGCAAGUCGAACGAGUGGCGGACGGGUGAGUAAUGUCUGGGACACUGCCUGAUGGAGGGGGAUAACUACUGGAAACGGUAGCUAAUACCGCAUACCAACGGAUGUGCCCAGAUGGGAUUAGCUAGUAGGUGGGGUAAAGGCUCAACUAGGCGACGAUACCUAGCUGGUCUGAGAGGAUGACCAGCAAUACUGGGACUGAGACGAGGUCCAGCCUCCUACGGGAGGCAGCAGUGGGGAAUAUUGCACAAUGGGCGCAAGCCUGAUGCAUCCAUGCCGCGUGUAUGAAGAAGGCCUUCGGGUUGUAAAGUACUUUCAGCGGGGAGGCGUUACCCGCAGAAGAAGCACCGGCUAACUCCGUGCCAGCCGCCGCGGUAAUAC
rnacentral:rRNA from 1 species